rnacentral:ncRNA from 1 species
ACUGAUUAAGGGCAAUAUCAUCGAAAGGUGACGACGCAAAGCUACAGGGCUAUUACAUGCCAGCCAGCUGCCAAA